GAUGAAGAACGUAGUGAAAUGCGAUAAGUAAUGCGAAUUGCAGAAUUUCCGUGAGUCAUCGAAUCUUUGAACGCACAUUGCGCCCAUUGGUAUUCCGAUGGGCAUGCCUGUUCGAGCGUCAUUAUCCUCCCUCAAACCCCGGGUUUGGUGUUGGACCCAAGUUGUGUGAACAACUGGUCUCAAAGGCAAUGACGGCGUCCGUGGGACCCUCGGUGCAACGAGCUUUUAGGAGCACGCAUCGAGUUGCAAGGACCUUCCGGGCCGGUCUCCUUUACCAUUUUACAAGGUUGACCUCGGAUCAGGUAGGAAUACCCGCUGAACUUAAGCAUAUCAAUAAGCGGAGGA
rnacentral:misc_RNA from 1 species